AGAGUUUGAUCAUGGCUCAGAUUGAACGCUGGCGGCAUGCCUAACACAUGCAAGUCGAACGGCAGCACAGCAGUAGCAAUACUGUGGGUGGCGAGUGGCGGACGGGUGAGUAAUGCAUCGGGACCUACCUGAACGUGGGGGAUAACGUAGGGAAACUUACGCUAAUACCGCAUACGUCCUACGGGAGAAAGCGGGGGACCUUCGGGCCUCGCGCGGUCAGACGGACCGAUGUUCGAUUAGCUAGUUGGUAGGGUAAUGGCCUACCAAGGCGACGAUCGAUAGCUGGUCUGAGAGGAUGAUCAGCCACACUGGAACUGAGACACGGUCCAGACUCCUACGGGAGGCAGCAGUGGGGAAUAUUGGACAAUGGGCGCAAGCCUGAUCCAGCAAUGCCGCGUGUGUGAAGAAGGCCCUCGGGUUGUAAAGCACUUUUAUCAGGAGCGAAAUACUACCGGUUAAUAACCGGUGGGGCUGACGGUACCUGAGGAAUAAGCACCGGCUAACUUCGUGCCAGCAGCCGCGGUAAUAC
rnacentral:rRNA from 1 species